ensembl:lncRNA
AUGGAUCAACAGAAUAACAAUAAACAAGGACAAGUCGAGGGCCAGCUCGCUGCGGAAGUUAUCAGAGCGAUUGUCCUCCUGUCCAAGUCUCCAGCAGUGCCUUCAGGCAUCAGACCGUGUCGUCCCCGUGUCCUCACAAAUACCCUUCUACAGCACCAGAUGUUUCUACACACGUCGCUGAUAGAUAGACAGACCAGGACCAGAGGAGGAGGAUCAGUGCAUGGAGUAGCACAGGAGGAGGAGACCAACCCAGAUCUGUGGGAUGCUGUGAUAAAAAGCCAUGAAAAAUGAUCACAGGAGGACUGCUGAAAUAUGUCACAUCUGCUCUAUGCUCCCCUCAGCAUAUACUGAUCCAUGAGGGAGUGAAAGAGAAAGGACACUUUAAACAUAUAUGUGUCACAGAGUUUCUCUUUUUACAAAUUCACAUCAGAACCUUCUCUCAUCAGCACACUGGAAAUUAUAUCAAAUAUGGUUGUUUGAUCCUGUUUGCAUGUCCUGAGUGUUAUUGAAUAGGUACAUAUUUAAGUUUUCUUGAGCCAAAAUGUUUUUCUCUCACUUUUGGACAGGCAACAAGAGCAAAAUGAACAGAAAAUGGAAAUAGUACUGAGUAGGUUUUAAAUUUCAACUAACUCAAUGAUCUUUCACUUUUAGGAGGGAGAAUUUUCACAAAAGACUUUGCUUUUUAAUUGCACAGGGAAAAAAACAGGAUGUGUGACAGUAUUUCUCCUUUCUUGUUUUACAGAAUAAAUAAAGUCAUGGAACAACA